GAGUUCGAGACCAGCCUGGCCAACAUAGUGAAACCCCAUCUCUAUUAAAAAUAUGAAAAUUAGCCAGGUGUGGUGGCACACACCUGUAGUCCCAGCUACUCGGGAGGCUGACGCAGGAGAAUCACUUGAAUCCGGGAGGUGGAGGUUGCAGUGAGCCAAGACCAUGCCAUUGCACUCCAGCCUGGGUGAUAGAGUGAGACUCCAUCUGAAAAAUAUACAAAUAAGGCCAUCACCUAGUUUAGGAAAUGCAUCCAAGCGGUGGCCCUGGCCUGGGCUCCCUAGCCUCAUAUCCGCUCCAGGCCAAGCCCUGGUACCCCAUUCACUUUGCAGCAUAGAUGGGAAGCUUCUGUUUCCCAUCCCAGGAGAACAGGCAGCCGCACCAGGAGAGACUGGGCUGUUCACGUGGGGGUGACAGAUCAGGAAAGAUGUCACCAAGAGCCCAGGCAGAGCUGCCCCAGCCAGCUCCCCUUUUCUCUGCCUCCCUACACAGAGUUCUGGGAGGCAGGCUCUGAAAAGUCAUUGUCCUUCAUGCCUUUAUUUUUUUGUGUUCUUUCUCAUUUUCAAUCUUGUAUUUCUGCUUUUUCGGUUCAAAAGAAAAAAUAACAGCCACCCUAUCAUUAGCUCUUUGACUUUAUCAAGCCUUUGGAUUUUCUCAGUUGCAAAACAUCUUGUUCCAAUAUUAUUUCCGUUGUUCUGCUUUCCUUGAGUUACUUUUUGUCCCAUUUCUAGCUUUUUUAGCUUGAUGCUGAGUUGCCCAAUCCGUUUUCACACUUUCAUUUUUAGUUAUGUUAAGAAUUCGGUGCUAUGCAUUUUCCUCUUUGAAUAGCAUUUGCUAUGAGUUUGGAUGUGUUGUGUUUUCAUUAGUAUUUUCUGGAUAGUUGUUCAGUUUGGGUUCUGAUGAUUCUCUGAUCCAGAGUUUAUUGACGGGAGGUUUGUGAUUUCCACAGUUGCUAUUUUUACUUCAAUUUCUGUUACCUGUUUCUAAAUGUACUGAAAUGUCAUUACAGAAAAUGAUCUCCAUUAGAGAACUGUAUUUUUCAAACAAUUUUUAGGUCCUCUUUGUAGUUUAAGGGUGAAUUUUGGGGAAUGGCAUGUGGUCACCCAAAGCUAAACAUUUGUUAAAUACUCCCAAUUACAUUGCACGAAUAUUCGACAUCCACAGGAGUUCUGAACUCUCCUAAUGGAACCAUCUGCUGCGUCAGCAGAGCUUUAGUGAGUGACUCCUCAGGGAUGGCCAGUGCUGGCUUUGUCCCUCAUCAUUAAUUCCCUCAUGAAUUCCUCUGCAGGCAUGUGGAGCACGGAGCACCCUCUGUGUGCCAGGCCUUUCCUGGGCACUGAGGAGACACAGGGUAUGAGGCCCAAAGGUUGCAGGUGGCCUUGUGAUGGCCACGUGGGCAGUAAGCAAAGGCAUUUUGGAAACAGAAGGAACAGCGAGUGCAAAGGAAGGGGAGGUUGGCUCCUCUGGAAAACGGGAGCCCUGGCAGCGUUGAGGAAAUGUGAGUUGUUUAUUUCAUCAGAAAUAUGUCUUCCCCACUCUCUCAGAAAGAAUGAAAAGACCUUGGUUUUUCUGUAUGUACUUACUAAUACGUUCAUUAUGAAACAAACAAAAUACUUUUAAAGAGAUGCUACAAAAGUAAAAAAAAGUUCUUAAUACAUAACUGUAGUGAUUAAUUAUACAAAAAUGUCUGCCCUCGUUAAAAUAUUAUCUGUAAUCAUAUUAUUUGUGAGAGCAAUGUGGUAGAAUUUGCAUCAUUUUUUACAUGCUGGAGUUAUACUUUGAGAUACAUCAAUUCAAAUAUCCCAUAUAUCAAACUUUUGAUACAUCAAUUCAAAAGUUCCAUUUAUGUUCAUGCUUGCUUAUAAUGAUUGUCAGAGCUGAAAAAGAUAACUCACAAGAGCGCAACUGGCACACCGAACAAAGAGUAUUGUUAACAAGAGGAAGUAAAUCCCUAUCUUUAGAGAAUUGAGGGGUUAAGGCAACUUCUUGUCUGAUCCAAUUAGAUCAUCAUUGUUUGUAGCUCAUGCAAAGGGGAGGGGACGACUUGACUUUUUUAUAAGCAGGUAAGCAGGGCCUGAGGCACCCAAUAACCUUCACUCAAAGUCACAGGGCAACCAGAGCCAAGCCUUCGCCCAACCUCACCACAGGUGUGAACUCUCCAUCCUGAACGCAUACCAUCUCCCCUUGCCCGCUAAAAUCACCCCUCCUGAGGAGGAAUAAAUUGGACAUCAAGCCUCAGUUUCCUUGCGGACACAGG
rnacentral:lncRNA from 1 species